rnacentral:rRNA from 1 species
UACGUAGGUGGCAAGCGUUAUCCGGAUUUAUUGGGCGUAAAGGGAACGCAGGCGGCCUUUUAAGUCUGAUGUGAAAGCCUUCGGCUUAACCGGAGUAGUGCAUUAGAAACUGGGAGACUUGAGUGCAGAAGAGGAGAGUGGAACUCCAUGUGUAGCGGUGAAAUGCGUAGAUAUAUGGAAGAACACCAGUGGCGAAAGCGGCUCUCUGGUCUGUAACUGACGCUGAGGUUCGAAAGCGUGGGUAGCAAACAGG